rnacentral:rRNA from 1 species
UAUAAGAGGUCUCGCCUGCCCUGUGACCCCAAGUUUAACGGCCGCGGUAUUUUGACCGUGCAAAGGUAGCGCAAUCACUUGUCUUUUAAAUGGAGACCUGUAUGAAUGGCAUGACGAGGGCUUAACUGUCUCCUUUUUCCAGUCAAUGAAAUUGAUCUUCCCGUGCAGAAGCGGGAAUGAUAUCAUAAGACGAGAAGACCCUGUGGAGCUUUAGACGCUAAGGCAGCCUAUGUCAAAACCCCCUCCUUAAGGGGUAGAACUAAUUAGCCCCUGUCCUGAUGUCUUUGGUUGGGGCGACCUCGGGGAAACACAAAACCCCCGCGCGGAAUAGGAGCACCAGCACUCCCACAAUCAAGAGCCACCACUCUAAACUACAGAACUUCUGACCACUAAGAUCCGGCUACACCGAUCAACGAACCGAGUUACCCCAGGGAUAACAGCGCAAUCCUCUUUUAGAGCCCAUAUCGACAAGGGGGUUUACGACCUCGAUGUUGGAUCAGGACAUCCUAAUGGUGCAGCCGCUAUUAAGGGUUCGUUUGUUCAACGAUUAAAGUCCU